rnacentral:rRNA from 1 species
UGAACGCUGGCGGCGUGCUUAACACAUGCAAGUCGCACGAGAAAUCUUUAGCUUGCUAGAGAGAGUAAAGUGGCGAACGGGUGAGUAACGCGUGGGUAAUCUGCCCUCGAAUUUGGGAUAACAUUGCGAAAGCGAUGCUAAUACCGGAUAAUAUCCUUAUUUCUUUGGCGAUGAGGAUCAAAGGUGGCCUCUACAUGUAAGCUACUGUUUGGGGAUGAGCCCGCGUACCAUUAGCUUGUUGGCAGGGUAAUGGCCUACCAAGGCAACGAUGGUUAGCUGGUCUGAGAGGAUGAUCAGCCACACUGGAACUGACACACGGUCCAGACUCCUACGGGAGGCAGCAGUGAGGAAUUUUGCGCAAUGGGGGAAACCCUGACGCAGCAACGCCGCGUGAGUGAAGAAGGCUUUAGGGUCGUAAAGCUCUGUCAAGUGGGAAGAACCCGCCUUAACAUAACAGGUUAUGGCGCUGACGGUACCACUGAAGGAAGCACCGGCUAACUCC